GACGAACGCUGGCGGCGUGCUUAACACAUGCAAGUCGAACGGAAAGGCCCUGCUUUUGUGGGGUGCUCGAGUGGCGAACGGGUGAGUAACACGUGAGUAUCCUGCCCUUGACUUUGGGAUAACUUCAGGAAACUGGGGCUAAUACCGGAUAGGAGCUCCUGCUGCAUGGUGGGGGUUGGAACGUUUCGGCGGUUGGGGAUGGACUCGCGGCUUAUCAGCUUGUUGGUGGGGUAGUGGCUUACCAAGGCUUUGACGGGUAGCCGGCCUGAGAGGGUGACCGGCCACAUUGGGACUGAGAUACGGCCCAGACUCCUACGGGAGGCAGCAGUGGGGAAUAUUGCACAAUGGGCGGAAGCCUGAUGCAGCAACGCCGCGUGCGGGAUGACGGCCUUCGGGUUGUAAACCGCUUUCGCCUGUGACGAAGCGUGAGUGACGGUAAUGGGUAAAGAAGCACCGGCUAACUACGUG
rnacentral:rRNA from 1 species